CACUGCUUCCCUACUGCUGUGAGUGCUGGGCAGACAGCAGCCACAUAACCUGAGGAGUCACCUCUUGCCCUCAGCCAAUGGUUGACAGAUAGGAGGGUCUAAAAGUCUGGUCUCCUUGCCUCAAGAGGAGAUACCUCUAUGAUCCAUUUAUGUACCAGAGCCCUCCUGUGUGGAUCAGGCCAAUGUCAACGUUACUUGAGAUGACCUUGUUUCUUGACUCUUUCUCCCUCUUUGUCCUGCUUUACUCUCCCCCUUACAGGUUGCAUGUGGGAUCGCACCUUCACCGUAUCACUUUUACAAGACUCCUUGUCACAGGCUCUGUUUAGAGAACCCAAAGGAAGUCAUUGUAAGGACUUUGGCUUGUAUUCUGGGACACGGAAGUCAUUAUAGGGUUUGAGAAGUGACAUGUUCUGCCUUAUAUUUAGAAUUGCUCUUCCCACACCUGUGUUGAGAAGAGACUAUAAGAGAGAAAAGAGUGGAAGCAGAAAGACUGGUUAGGAGGCUCUUGCAGCAAUCCAGACUCUAGACAUGUGACCUGGAGAUGCAGCAUCCAUCUUGUGACCAUGAAGCAAUAGGGAUAAGGGUAAAAGUCUACACAUUGCAGAUUGCAGAUAAAAACAUGAAAAGAUCCUGGCUGCCUGAUGACACUACAGGGGAGAAAUUGAGAGUAGAAAGAAGAAUGACGAGGUUUACGCUCUCCUGAGGAAGGACCCUCAAGAGAGGACCUUAUGAACACAAUUAGCUACUGAAAAAGACUUGGAAAAAAUUAUGGCACAAUGAAGAAAAUAAUCUUCAAGGCUCAGUGGAAGAAAAAGAAGAGAGGAGGUCUCAGAGAGGUAAUUCAUGAAGUGAGCAUCAAAGCAUGGAAUAACUAAUUGUGUUAAAGACAAAUGUGCCAGCAUGGAGCUAAAUUCGGAGAAAAAAAAAGUAAUGUCAAAAAGAAUGUGGCGGACAGGCAUGGUGACUCACAUCUGUAAUCCCAGCACUUUGGGAGGCCGAGGUAGGAGGAUUGCCUGAUAUCAGGAGUUUGAGACCAGCCUGACCAACAUGGAGAAACCCACUCAUGGUGGUGCAUGCCUGUAGUCCCAGCUACUCAGGAGGCUGAGGCAGGAGAAUCGCUUCAACCCAGGAGGCGGAGGUUGCAGUGAGCCAAGAUGGGGCCACUGCAAUUCCAGCCUGCGUGACAGAGCAAGACUGUCUCACAAAAAAAAAAAAAAAGAAAGAAAGAAAGAAUGUGGCAAUCAAUUUUACCUGGGAGGAGGGAGGAGUAAGGGAGGCUCUGGUGAUGCAUCUCGAAGAAGAGGGUAAUUAAAAUUGUAUUCAGAAUUGCAUUCAGAGGACCUUUCUAUUUUAUUAAUUGCCAUAUCCCUGGUUGUGAAUAUCACAUAAUUAUAUAAAUUGAAUCUUUUUCUUUAUGUGUUGACCUGGAAAUAUGACCAUGAUUUUAAAUGACAAAAGCAA
rnacentral:lncRNA from 1 species